CUUCCUACAGUGCAAACAUGAGGAUCCUUUAUGUUCUGCUUCUGCUAUUGUUGAUAAAAAGAGAGACGUUUGCACAGUCAAUAACGCCGCAGGAAAACAAGGUGCUUAAAUCUGAAGGAGAAAAAGUCACUCUGUCCUGUAAAUAUGAUGGAGCUGUAAAUAACCUGCACUGGUAUCGUCAGUAUCUGGGAUCCAAACCAGAGUUCCUCACAUUCAUUUAUCCACAUGGAACCACGAGUGACCAUCUUCCUCCUCGUCUUUUACCUAAAGUCGAUAAAAACAACAAUUUUGUGAGCCUGGAGAUCUCCUCUGCUGAAGUAUCAGACUCUGCGCUGUAUUACUGCGCACUGACGCCCACAGUGACAGGAAACUCAUCUACACUGUACAAAAACGUCCUCAACAAUACAACUCUAUCCUCAUAAACUGAAGUUUCAGAAAAGGGCCAGUGCAUCACAAAACACUUAAAAUAUCAUACAGCAGUUCAGACAGUGGUGGUAUAUGUAAGAAAAGUAGCAGACUAUAAUGCAUCUAAACAUCUAAUGCAAA